rnacentral:rRNA from 1 species
GAUCCCAUCAGAACUCCGAAGUUAAGCAUGCUUGGGCGAGAGUAGUACUAGGAUGGGUGACCCCCUGGGAAGUCCUCGUGUUGCAUCCCU